UACGAAGGGGGCUAGCGUUGUUCGGAUUUACUGGGCGUAAAGCGCACGUAGGCGGAUCGUUAAGUGAGGGGUGAAAUCCCAGGGCUCAACCCUGGGAACUGCCUUUCAUACUGGCGAUCUUGAGUCCGGAAGAGGUGAGUGGAACUCCUAGUGUAGAGGUGGAAUGCGCAGAUAUCAGGAAGAACACCCGUGGCGAAGGCGGCUCUCUGGGACGGUACUGACGCUGAGACGCGAAAGCGUGGGGGAGCGAACAGG
rnacentral:rRNA from 1 species